rnacentral:rRNA from 1 species
AGAGUUUGAUCCUGGCUCAGAACGAACGCUGGCGGCAGGCCUAACACAUGCAAGUCGAGCGCACUCUUCGGAGUGAGCGGCGGACGGGUUAGUAACGCGUGGGAACGUACCCAGAUCUACGGAAUAGCCUCGGGAAACUGAGAGUAAUACCGUAUACGCCCUUCGGGGGAAAGAUUUAUCGGAUUUGGAUCGGCCCGCGUUAGAUUAGAUAGUUGGUGAGGUAACGGCUCACCAAGUCUACGAUCUAUAGCUGGUUUUAGAGGAUGAUCAGCAACACUGGGACUGAGACACGGCCCAGACUCCUACGGGAGGCAGCAGUGGGGAAUCUUGGACAAUGGGCGCAAGCCUGAUCCAGCCAUGCCGCGUGAGUGAUGAAGGCCUUAGGGUCGUAAAGCUCUUUCGCCAGAGAUGAUAAUGACAGUAUCUGGUAAAGAAACCCCGGCUAACUCCGUGCCAGCAGCCGCGGUAAUACGGAGGGGGUUAGCGUUGUUCGGAAUUACUGGGCGUAAAGCGCGCGUAGGCGGACCAGAAAGUUAGGGGUGAAAUCCCGGGGCUCAACCCCGGAACUGCCUCUAAAACUCCUGAUCUAGAGUUCGAGAGAGGUGAGUGGAAUUCCGAGUGUAGAGGUGAAAUUCGUAGAUAUUCGGAGGAACACCAGUGGCGAAGGCGGCUCACUGGCUCGAUACUGACGCUGAGGUGCGAAAGUGUGGGGGAGCAA